UAGUAAUAGGUUUUAAGGGUGCAACUC
rnacentral:sRNA from 1 species